rnacentral:rRNA from 1 species
CCGCCGAACUUAAGCAUAUCAUUAAGCGGAGGAAAAGAAACUAACUAGGAUUCCGUCAGUAGGGGCGACCGAAGCCGGAAAAGCCCAGAAUGGUAAUCUCCAGCCUGCGGCUGGCGAAUUGUAGUCUGAAGUGAGUUGACAUAACGUGAUCUGACGCAGAAGUGGUCGUGAGAGGCCUGCCAAAGAGGGUGAGAGCCCCGUCUGUAGUGUCGGAUCGUACCGUGUCUUCUUACAAAGAGUCGUGUACUUUGAUACUGGUGCACCAAGUGGGAGAUAAACUUCUUCUAAGGCUAAAUACAUGUGGGAAACCGAUAGCGAACAAGUACUGUGAAGGAAAGAUGAAAAGUACCUUGAAAAGGGGGUCAAAAGACUUGAAAUCGUUGGGGCGGAAGCGGUAGAAAUUUAUUCUUCGCGGAGCACGUUGUGCAAAGUUGAGAGACAGGAUGGAGUGGAUAGAGAUCAGAGGGUGCGUACGACCCGUAACUUUGUUGCAAUCGUAUGUAUUCCGGACCUCUGUCGGCUUGAGGGGCUUAUGCGAUCCUGUCAAAAUGGUUUUUACCGGCUCGUCUUGAAACACGAACCAAGGAGUCUAAGACUCACGCGAGUAUGGUGGUGGAAAAACCAACAUGCGAAAUGAAAGUAAUUGAUGCCAAGGCAACGGCAGCAUCGACCGACCAUGAUCUAUAAGAGAAAGGUUUGAGUAAGAGCGUGAUUCUAAGGA